GACGAACGCUGGCGGCAUGCCUAAUACAUGCAAGUCGAGCGAACAGAUGAAGUGCUUGCACUUCUGACGUUAGCGGCGAACGGGUGAGUAACACGUAAGGAAUCUACCUAUAAGCGGGGGAUAACAUUCGGAAACGGGUGCUAAUACCGCAUAAUAUCUUCUUCCGCAGGGAAGAAGAUUGAAAGAUGGCUCUGCUGCCACUAAAAGAUGACUUUGCGGUGCAUUAGUUAGUUGGUGGGGUAACGGCCAACCAAGACGAUGAUGCAUAGCCGACCUGAGGGGGUGAUCGGCCACAUUGGGACUGAGACACGGCCCAAACUCCUACGGGAGGCAGCAGUGGGGAAUCUUCCGCAAUGGGCGAAGGCCUGACGGAGCAAUGCCGCGUGAGUGAAGAAGGCCUUCGGGUCGUAAAACUCUGUUAUAAGAGAAGAACAAAUUGUAGAGUAACUGCUACAGUCUUGACGGUAUCUUAUCAGAGAGCCACGGCUAACUACGUGCCAGCAGCCGCCGUAA
rnacentral:rRNA from 1 species